UUAAACGGCCGCGGGAUCCUCCACCGUGCAAAGGUAGCAUAAUCACUUGUCCCCUAAAUAGUGACUAGUAUGAAUGGCCAAAUGAAGAUCUUACUGUCUCUUGUAGCCAAUCUAUGAAACUAAUCUAUCAGUACAAAAACUGGUAUUUUUUCAUAAGACGAAAAGACCCUGUGGAACUUUAAGCACAAAUCACCUAAUGAUAUACUGCUUUUAGUUGGGGCAACUUUGGAAAUAAACAAAACUUCCAAUCUUAAACCAAGAUAAACAUAUCUACACACCACACGACCCAGCACACGCUGAUCAAAGAACCAAGCUACCCCAGGGAUAACAGCGCCAUCCCCUCCUAGAGCCCAAAUCGACGAGUGGGGUUUACGACCUCGAUGUUGGAUCAGGGCCCCCAAACAGUGCAACAGCUGUUAACGGUUUGUUUGUUCAACAAUUAAAGCCCU
rnacentral:rRNA from 1 species